rnacentral:lncRNA from 1 species
CUCACGGGAAUCAUCAUUUUGACUUGAAAAUUGUUCUUCGGCGUCUGGUUCCAUCCCAGGUGGUUUAAAAGAGGAAUUUCAACUGCAUAAUCAACAAAACUGAAUUCAAAGCAACACUAACCCUAAACCUUUAUGAACAAUUUCAGGUGGUUUAUUAUUUAUACUAAGAAUGAGCAAUUUCCUAUUCUACAAAGAGGAAUUUAAACAACAAACCUUGAUAUUUUGUAAAGAAGGAGACCGAUUCUUUGCUCAACUGAACCGUGAAAUUGCAGAGAAAUUGAAAGAAAUUGAAAGAUUUUGUGGUCGAGGGAAACGUGAUUUCGAUGAUUAAUCACC